rnacentral:lncRNA from 1 species
UUGGAAGUAUAUGGCAUUCAGAUUUCUGUUAGGCCAUGGAAUCAUGGUUAAGCACAUGCGAAAAAAGGUUCAGCAGCAGGUCGGACUGGUCACUGUCUAGUAGUAACUCACAAUAAGCAUUUGCACCUAGCUUAUUUGGCUGUACUUGUUGGCCGUUGCACACGCAGUACUAGAUGUUACAAGCCAUGUUAGCGCGUGUGCCGAUCUCACCAGCCUCGUGUGCGUGUAAAUAAUCAGCUGUUCUACACAAACCGUAGGUGUUACUAGGCGAAGUCGUACUGUCACACCUUUUACAUAUGCUUUGCUUUGCAUAUGAAUUGAAGGGAGAGGAUAGGUCAGUUUAGUUGCUUGUUUAAGUUGAGAACAGCCAUGGAGAAGGCAAAAAAGUUUGUUUUCAUGUUCUUCAUAGGACUAGUGACAUCCACCAGCUUGAGAAUGGACGACAACACAUUAUGUAUAAGCACCCUUUAGGAUGAAUUCCUCUGAGACUUAAGACUACCAAGUACCAACAGCACACAGAUUUCUAGUGAAUUAGAUGGCUUUAUACUUCUGCAGUUAGUUAUAGUAAUAGCACAUUUUUAAAGUAAGAGUUUGUCCCCUUGGAUCUUUCGUGCGAGGUCCCCUAACUUCCUUCCCUCGUUUAGUUUCACAAAUGUUCAAAACUAU